GCAUUGGUGGUUCAAUGGUAAAAUUCUCACUUUCCAUGCAAGAGACCCAGGUUUGAUUCCUGGCCAACGCA
rnacentral:tRNA from 1 species